UCCUCCAAGGCUAAAUACUCCUGACUGACCGAUAGUGAACCAGUACCGUGAGGGAAAGGCGAAAAGAACCCCGGCGAGGGGAGUGAAAAAGAACCUGAAACCGUGUACGUACAAGCAGUGGGAGCCUACUUGUUAGGUGACUGCGUACCUUUUGUAUAAUGGGUCAGCGACUUAUAUUCUGUAGCAAGGUUAACCGUAUAGGGGAGCCGAAGGGAAACCGAGUCUUAACUGGGCGUUAAGUUGCAGGGUAUAGACCCGAAACCCGGUGAUCUAGCCAUGGGCAGGUUGAAGGUUGGGUAACACUAACUGGAGGACCGAACCGAC
rnacentral:rRNA from 1 species